UACGUAGGGUGCGAGCGUUAUCCGGAAUUAUUGGGCGUAAAGAGCUCGUAGGCGGUGUGUCACGUCGGCCGUGAAAACCUGCAGCUUAACUGUGGGCGUGCGGUCGAUACGGGCAUCACUGGAGUUCGGCAGGGGAGACUGGAAUUCCUGGUGUAGCGGUGAAAUGCGCAGAUAUCAGGAAGAACACCCGUGGCGAAGGCGGCUCUCUGGAACGCAACUGACGCUGAGACGCGAAAGCGUGGGGAGCAAACAGG
rnacentral:rRNA from 1 species